AGUCAGCUGGGCAAUUGCUGUUUGUUUUCUUUGUAAGCCGUUUUAUGGCUAUCGAGGUGGCAGAUGGAGGAAAGUCCGGGCUCCGCAGAGCAGGGUGCCAGGUAACGCCUGGGAAAUGUGAAUUUACGGCUAGUGCAGCAGAAAAUAUACCGCCUAACAUUACAAUUUUUCGGAAUUGGUUGGGUAAGGGUGAAAAGGUGCGGUAAGAGCGCACCGCGCAUCUGGUAACAGUUUGUGGCAGUGUAAACCCCACUCGGAGCAAGGCCAAAUAGGAAUCCUUUUUUGCUGCUCGCAAUGGAUUCGGGUAGGCCGCUAGACACCUGUGGUGACGCAGGUUGCAGAUGAAUAAUUGUCCUCGACAGAACCCGGCUUAUAGGCUGACUCA
rnacentral:RNase_P_RNA from 1 species